GCUUAGGUAGUAUAAUGGAUGAGCACGACAGACUGGAUAUCUGUAGGUGUGGGUUCGAACCUCACCUAAGGUU
rnacentral:tRNA from 1 species